GUGUGGUGUAUGGGGUCUGUGGGGUCACUGAGGCACAGAAUAUGGGAUCUGUGGGGAUACUGAGGCAGAGAAUAUGGGAUCUGUGAGGAAACUGAGCCACAGUGUAUGGGAUCUAUGGGGAAACUGAGGCACAGCAUAUGGGGUCAGUGGGGAAGGUGAGGCACAGAAUAUGGGGUCUGUGGGGUUACUGAGGCACAGCAUAUGGGAGCAGUGGGGAAACAGGCACAGAAUAUGGGAUCUAUGGGGGAACUGAGGCACAGAAUAUGGGAUCUGUGGGGAAACUGAGGGACAGAAUAUGGGAUCAGUGAGGAAACCGAGGCAUGGCAUAUGGGAUCUACGGGGGAAACUGAGGGACAGAAUAUGGGAUCAAUGGGGGAACUGAGGCACAGCAUAUAGGAUCUAUGGCGGAACUGAGGGACAAAAUAUGGGAUCUAUGGGGGGACUGAGGCACAGCAUAUGGGAUCUGUAGGGAUACUGAGGCAGAGAAUAUGGGAUCUGUGGGGAAGUUGAGGCACAGUAUAUGGGAUCAGUUGGGAAAGCGAAGCACAACAUAUGGGAUCUGUGGGGGAAACUGAGGCACAGAAUAUGGGGUCAGUGGGGAAACAGGCACAGAAUAUGGGAUCUAUGGGGGAACUGAGGCACAGAAUAUGGGAUCUGUGGGGAACUGAGCCACAGCAUAUGGGAUCUAUGGGGGAACUGAGGGACAGAAUAUGAGAUCUAUGGGGGAAACUGAGGCACAGCGUGUGGGAUCUAUGGGGAAACAGGCACAGAAUAUGGGAUUUAUGGGGAGCUGAGCCACUGUGUAUAGGAUCAGUAGGGAAACUGAGGCACAGCAUAUGGGAUCUAUGGGGAAACUGAGGCACAGCAUAUGGGAUCAAUGGGGGAACUGAGGGACAGCAUAUGGGAUCUAUGGGGGAAGUGAGGGACAGCAUAUGGGGUCAAUGGGGAAACAGGCACAGAAUAUGGGAUUUAUGGGGAGCUGAGGCACAGCAUAUGGGGUCCAUGGGGCACAGUGUAUGGGAUCUAUGAGGAAACUGAGCCAGUGUAUAGGAUCAGUGGAGAAAUUGAGGCACGGCAUAUGGGAUCUAUGGGGGAACUGAGGGACUGCAUAUGGGAUCAAUGGGGAAACUGAGGGACGGCAUGUGGGAUCUAUGGGGAACUGAGGCACAACAUAUGGGAUCUGUGGGGGAAACUGAGGCACAGAAUAUGGGGUCAGUGGGGAAACAGGCACAGAAUAUGGGAUCUAUGGGGGAACUGAGGCACAGAAUAUGGGAUCUGUGGGGAACUGAGCCACAGCAUAU
ensembl:lncRNA